rnacentral:lncRNA from 1 species
UGUGUGCCCUGAACUUGACCUCCGAUGGGACAGGGUCAGGUCAUGGGUGGUAUGUUAACUACGUGGAGGUGACUAAAACAGGAGUCCAUGCGACUUGUUCACAGAUGAAAUUUACUAUUGAGCAGUGGCUGGCUCUUGAUACUUCACCUUAUGAGUUAACUGCUAUUAGGAAUUAUUGUGAUUAUCAUGCGGAUGAUCGAGCUAAAACAUCUGCUGGUUUAAGUUCUUCUUAGUUUUUUUUUUUAAUUAUUAUUAUUAUGAUAUAUUGCUAUUAAGAGGCCGGGUGUCUGUUAGUUUGUAAGUGGUAGAUGUGGAAUUGGAUCAAAAUUUCCUAUGAUAAUAAAGAUGUUGUUACAAUGUUGGCAUCUGACAUUUGCCGAUGUUUAUUAGAUAAUUGGAUUUGAAUUUGAUAAUUGUUUUACUGGUUAAUUAUUUUUAUUUGAAUUAAUUAAUAGUUUUGCAUUUAUAAAUAUUGAUGUUGAUAUUAUGCUAGACUUCUACGAGGGUAAUGGCCGACUUAAUAUAUAGUUUUAGGCUACAUAUAUAAAAAUAAUUUGGAGAGUUAUGUAUAUCUGCAUAAAUUAUAUUCAUUGUCGACUACUGAUAUAAUUUUUAGUUUUCUUAUGAGGUGUAGAGAGUUUUUGACCGUAGAUCUCUUGCGAUAUAUAUCACAGGGAUCAUUAUUUUACUAGUACUGUCAUUAAAUUAAAUUAAGAUUACAAAAAAAAAAAAAAACUAUGAAGGCUAAGUUUUUACUGUCAACUAAGAGAGGAUUUAUUAUGGAUUUUCAAUAAUGAAAUUAUUAUUUUAUCAUUUACUUGUUUUGGGGAUAGAAUAUAGUUUUUUACAAAAUAGUCAAAAAGUUAUUUAAGAAUUCGACGGGACAAUAAGGUCUAAAAUCACUUCAUUGUUCUUACAGGUAAACUUCUCUAAGCCUUGAACUAAGGGCUUAAUCAUCUUUUUUUAUCUUUUAAACCGUAUAAUUACUAAUUUAAUCUUCACAGAAAAAAAUAAUAGCAUUCCAUGGCUUUUUGAUAUUUGACUUAAUUUAAAUAAAGUUAAAUUAUUCAUUAUCCUUCAAAUUAAAUAAUAUUACCCUUUCAAUUUAAGAAUGUUUUUAUCUUUUAUAUUUGAUUAUUUUGUAAUUAUUAGUUUUCAUUAAGGAUGUUUGUGUCAAUUGUUAAAUAAAAAAUUAAAAAAAAAAACUAGAGGCACAUGAACAAUAGUCACAACGCCUUGACAUCCUUUCAACGACUAGUUGUCGUGUGUGGCUUUUUUUUUUUUUGUCCUCGUUCCUCAAUUUUCAUGCUAGACUUCUAAAAUUUCAAAGCAAUCAUUCAAUUUUAUUUUCCUUUAAAGUUUGGUCUCUAUUCUUGUAAUUAUAUUUUUUUAUUUGAGAUAAUUUAUAAAAUUAGAAGUUGUUUUCAAUUUCAUCCCUUGUUGAUUUUUUUUUAUUAGAUUUGGUUUCCGUUUGUUUGAUUGCUAUUUGUUUUUAUUUAAGAUUGUUUUUGAAAUUGACUGCUUUUUUAUAAUUUUAUCCUUGAUUUUAUUUUCUAUCCAACCUGAUCCUUUUUUUAUUUCAUUUUUUUAUAUUAAAUUUUUUUAAAAUUGAUUUAUUAAUAACGUCAUCCUUCAAUACUUAAUUGAUUGAAUGUUUAGCAUCUUGGUUAAGUUCGGAUCUAAAAGAAUAUGGGUUUGAGAGAUUAGGUUUACUUAGACUUGCUUGAUUUUUUAUUUCCCUUUCUUUAAACUUAUUUUUUUCAGUUUCAUCCUCCAGCAUUUUGUUGUUUUUUUAUUUGCUUUUUAGGAGAUUUUUCAAUCAUUGUGAAAAAUAACACAGGUUGCCUCUAAAUUAUUUUUUUUUCUCUUUGUUAAAUUUAGUUUUUUUAAAAGCAAUUAUAUUUUUUUAAUAAAUAAAAUUAAUUGAUUUCAUCCUUCAACAUUUAAUUGGUCAUCUAGCUUGUUAAAUAUACUAAAAGAUUUGGGAAUAUAUUAAAAUCUAGGGUGUUAAUAUUGUUCAUAUAAACAAUGCCCCAAUUUUUUUUUCAUUUUCAUGUUUUAAAUUUUUUUCGAGCAUCUAUUUGUUGUUAAUUUAAUAAAUUAUGGUUUAAAUUUGUAAAAAAAAAAAAAACAAAACUUAAAGAAAAAAAGACCAAAAUGCAAAACCAUUGGAAGUUCCCGUGGCCAAUUUGAAAUUUACACGAAAAGUUAUUUUGGUUUAAAAAUUUAUAUUAUUCAUUUAUCAGUUCCUAGUUUGAGACACAAGAGAGAAACUCGUUGGAAAACGAUGAAGGAAAGAGAGUUGUCAGCUUGACACAUUCCACCCAUAAAAAAAGAUGAUUUUUAUGUCAAUAGGUUCUUAUUCUCGAUAACAGCUCAAUGAAUGUGUUGUUUCUUUAUAAACAUUCUGAGAAAAGUAGAUCGGCGUUCAAUUGAGUUUUUUUAUUCGGUUGAUUUUUAUUUUUGAAAGUGAUUUCAAGGUAAAAUUAAUGAUACAUAUAAUCAACUGAUUGGUUACAAAACAUAUUCACAAACACUGUUAAUAUCAUUACUCCUUCCAUCUAUUAUUAUUACAAUUAAAAAUUGUGUGUCGAUUUAAUUGUUUAUAUAAACAAUUAAUCAAGUUAGUAUAUUAUUUUAAUUAUUUUUUAAUAAAAUUAUUCCAUGGCUCACUUGACUAACACAUAAAGAUUACAUAUUGAAGGUUGCAUGUUCGAGUCUUAACACAUGCAAUAUUUUCUGUUAUAUGAUAGAUGACAUGUUGUCUACAUGUAACAAUUUGUUUUAGUUGCAUGUCCCCUAAAAAAAAGAUAAAAAGUCUAAGUGUGAGGGCUUGUUUUUGGGCAUGUGCUUUUUAUAUAUAUAUAUUCCAUGGCUUUUUUCAGUGAUCAUUUGUUUUUUUUAUUUUUAUUUUUUUAUCUUUUGAUCUUGUUUUUUUCAAUUCGUCAUUCCAUGUUGGGUUUUAUUGAAUUUUAUCAUUCAGUAUUGAAUUGAUUAUGAAUUAAUUUUUGUAUUUUUUAUCAUUUAUAAUUUUUAUCAUACAAUGAAAUAAUAAAAAAUUAAUUCAAUCUAGUGGAGUUCAUAACUCAGGUCACGAGUUUGACAAGUUAACUAAGGUGAGUCUGCCUUUUUUUUUUCUUUCGACCUCCCCAAUCAACAAUGUCAUGUUGCGCAACUCUCACAUGUCAAUUAAAGAGAUAAGUCGGGAUUUUCUAGGUUUGAACUAUUAUAUUGAUUUUAAUUAUAAUGCUAAAAAAAAAACAUUCUAAAUGUCUAUUUAAAAGUGUGGUAAAUGUUGUUAUUUAAAAUGUUUUUUUAUUGGAAAUGUAUUAAAAUAAUAUAUUUUUUAUUUUUAAAAUUUAUUUUUGAUAUCAAUACAUUCAAACAAUAAAAAAAUUAAUUUAAAACUAAAAAUAAUUUUAAAAAAAUUUUAAAAUCACGAGCGAACCACAAUCCAAAAACUCAAUUAGUUUUUUUUUUUUAAUGUUAUAUUAAUCGAACCCACGUAGAAAUAUGUACAGUAAAACUAAUAAUUACUAAUCAGACAUAAUGUCAUUUACACAUAUGCGUGUCUGAAUUUGUUUGGAUGCUGUGGGUCCCAUCAAACCAAGUUUUGCUUCUCGCAUCUCUCUCCUUAAUUAUCCCAAAAAAAUUAUCCUUUAUUUUUUUUAAAAAAUUAAACACAAUUAAUACAAUAAAUAAUUACAAGAACUCACUGGAUCAUUAACCCUACAAUUAAUACAAUAAAUAAUUAAAUAACACACCGUCCAUCCACAGUAAUAGGAUAAGCUGCACCAAUUUCUUACUUGUCCCAAUCGAAUAUUUGGAUUAGAAAUAAUAAUUUUAAUUGUAUAUAGUAAAUGCAAAAAAAAAAGUAUUUUUAUUUGGUAAAAAAAACAAUUGUUUUAAAAAUUGUUCUUUGUUUCUUAUCAAAUAAAGUAAUUCCUUUUAAUUUUAAAAAUACUGGAUUUAUCAAUUAUGACAUUAUUUUGGAAGGAACUCUUUCUAAAAUAAAAUAAAAAAAUUAUUUUAAAUUGACAGAAUUUUGAAGCAAUUACACGAUAAAAAAAAAAAAAUUCGUGCACUUUGGUUAAAAUUGAUACCCUAGUUCCAUGCUCACAUGCUCUAUAAAGCCCACUUCCAACCAAUCAUAGCUUUAACAUUCUUACAAACUCAAAAGAAGGGGAAUAAAUGUCAUUCCGCCCUCUCCUCCUCCCUCUCCUCCUCCUCCUUUCCUUCUCCUCCAUAGUAUUUUCUGUAAGUUACUGAUCUCUUAAACUCCCAUUACACCCUCAAAAUCCUUUUUCAUCUGUUGAUCACUGGUAUCAAUAUAAUUCUUCAUUCACUUACCCUUUUCUUGUCUUUUCCUCUUUUUUAUGCUUUUGCAGGAUGAAGACUGCGUAUACACAAUGUACGUAAGAACAGGAUCCAUUAUCAAAGGAGGCACGGACUCCAUCAUAAGCGCGACACUGUACGACACUUAUGGUUAUGGCGUGGAGGUCCCAGAUCUUGAGAGAUGGGGAGGGCUAAUGGAGCCAGGCCACAACUACUUCGAGAGGGGCAAUUUGGACAUUUUCAGUGGGAGAGGACCAUGUUUGAAUGCACCUGUGUGCGCCUUGAACUUGACCUCUGAUGGGUCAGGUUCAGGCCAUGGUUGGUACGUUAACUACGUGGAGGUGACGACAACAGGGGUCCAUGCGGCUUGUGCACAAAAGAAGUUCGAGAUUGAGCAAUGGCUGGCCCUUGAUACUUCGCCUUAUAGCUUAAUUGCUUUUAGGGAUUAUUGUGAUUAUCUUGAUGUUAAGAAAUCCGCCGGAAGCUCUUCUAUGUAAUAGAGAUCUUAACUUCAAGGUUAAUU